rnacentral:rRNA from 1 species
UUCCGGUUGAUCCCGCCAGACCUGACUGCUAUCGGAUUGAUACUAAGCCAUGCGAGUCUUUGUAGUAAUACAAGGCAGACGGCUCAGUAACACGUAGUCAACCUACCCUAUGGACGAGAAUAACCUCGGGAAACUGAGCAUAAUUCUUGAUAGAUCAUAAUGCCUGGAAUGGUUUAUGGUUAAAAUGAUUCGUCGCCAUAGGAUGGGACUGCGGCCUAUCAGCUUGUUGGUGAGGUAAUGGCCCACCAAGGCGAUUACAGGUACGGGCUCUGAGAGGAGAAGCCCGGAGAUGGGUACUGAGACACGGACCCAGGCCCUAUGGGGCGCAGCAGGCGAGAAAACUUUGCAAUGUGCGAAAGCACGACAAGGUUAAUCCGAGUGAUUUCUGCUAAAGAAAUCUUUUGCCAGUCGUAAAACCGAUGGUGAAUAAGGGGUGGGCAAGUUCUGGUGCCAGCAGCCGCGGUAAU